ACGUAUCACAACAUACGGAUGACUUCUGUUUUUCCGCCGGACCACAGUCUUGACCUCCGAUCGAGCUACGAACACGAGUAGGUAGGCGGCUAGGGGGGGGAGAGGGGCUAAGGGCUGCCUUUUCCAUCAAUCUCCGGCCACUCAGUGCCGCUAUUGGUGCGAGUUGUAAGGAGUCUUGGUCUCGAGUCAAGCUGGGGCCUCAUUUCAUUCUCGUAAGGGGAAUGAGUGCACCGAAAAACCAGACAAGUUGCUCCCUCGCCUCGCAGCGGCGGCAUCUGUCUUUUAAGUUAAACUAAGUCAUUUCCUAAGAUGGC
rnacentral:lncRNA from 1 species